UUGUCUGGACAGAUUGCACUUAAUGUUGAUGCCUCAUUUUCCGAAGAUGACCACUCAGGAGCGUGUGGGGCAAUUGUCCGUGACAACCAUGGUCUGUUUGUAUGCGCAUCCAUUGCAAGACUUGGACAUGUCACUGACAUAGUUUCAGCGGAAGCUGCGGCCCUCGUGGAGGGUCUAAAGCUCUCACUGAGUAUUGGCUGCAACUCUAUUUUCAUUCAAAUGGACAAUUUGGUAGUGGUUGACGCAUUAAACCAGAACACUGGACACUCAAUGGUCGCAGCACCAAUUCUAGAUGAAUGUCGAAGUUUACUCCAGGAAUUCGGGAAGGUCCUUAUUAAACAUUGUAAUAGGAAGUCGAAUAUGAUAGCUCAUGUGUGCUAG
rnacentral:rRNA from 1 species